rnacentral:lncRNA from 1 species
ACCACUUCCUCAAAUCCACCAUCUUCUUCAUCUCUAUCACAUCGCACUGCAACCAUCAAUGCAACGCACAGCAGGUGAAAAGAAAAUGGAAAGAAAAUGCCGCUACACAUGAAGCAGCGACGACCCCUGCAACAUCAGAUCGUCACUGCUUCAUGCCCAGCGGCACCACAGGGAUUACCGGUGCUUCGUGCGGCACUAGGUGGUGAAGCUGUGCCUGUCCCG